rnacentral:rRNA from 1 species
UGUGUAGGCGGUUGGAUAAGUGUGGUGUGAAAUCUCCCGGCUUAACUGGGAGGGUGCGCUACAAACUGUCUGACUAGAGUAUGGGAUGGGAGAGUGGAAUUCCUGGUGUAGCGGUGAAAUGCGUAGAUAUCAGGAGGAACACCGGUGGUGUAGACGGCUCUCUGGACCAUUACUGACGCUGAGACACGAAAGCGUGGGUAGCAAACAGGAUUAGAUACCCUGGUAGUCCACGCCCUAAACGAUGCAUAUUUGGUGUGGGUCAUUCAUUUGAUCCGUGCCGGAGCUAACGCGUUAAAUAUGCCGCCUGGGGAGUACAGUCGCAAGGCUGAA